rnacentral:rRNA from 1 species
UGACUGGGGCGGUCGCCUCCUAAAAGGUAACGGAGGCGCUCAAAGGUUCCCUCAGAAUGGUUGGAAAUCAUUCAUAGAGUGUAAAGGCAUAAGGGAGCUUGACUGCGAGACCUACAAGUCGAGCAGGGUCGAAAGACGGACUUAGUGAUCCGGUGGUUCCGCAUGGAAGGGCCAUCGCUCAACGGAUAAAAGCUACCCCGGGGAUAACAGGCUUAUCUCCCCCAAGAGUUCACAUCGACGGGGAGGUUUGGCACCUCGAUGUCGGCUCAUCGCAUCCUGGGGCUGUAGUCGGUCCCAAGGGUUGGGCUGUUCGCCCAUUAAAGCGGUACGCGAGCUGGGUUCAGAACGUCGUGAGACAGUUCGGUCCCUAUCCGUCGUGGGCGUAGGAAAUUUGAGAGGAGCUGUCCUUAGUACGAGAGGACCGGGAUGGACAUACCUCUGGUGUACCAGUUGUCGUGCCAACGGCAUAGCUGGGUAGCUAUGUGUGGACGGGAUAAGUGCUGAAAGCAUCUAAGCAUGAAGCCCCCCUCAAGAUGAGAUUUCCCAACUUCGGUUAUAAGAUCCCUCAAAGAUGAUGAGGUUAAUAGGUUCGAGGUGGAAGCAUGGUGACAUGUGGAGCUGACGAAUACUAAUCGAUCGAAGACUUAAUCAA